AGGACGAACGCUGGCGGCGUGCUUAACACAUGCAAGUCGAACGAUGACGACCGAGCUUGCUCGGUCUGAUUAGUGGCGAACGGGUGAGUAACACGUGAGCAACCUGCCCUUCACUCUGGGAUAACCUCGGGAAAUCGGGGCUAAUACCGGAUAUGAGCUCCUGUCGCAUGGCGGGUGUUGGAAAGUUUUUCGGUGAAGGAUGGGCUCGCGGCCUAUCAGUUUGUUGGUGAGGUAGUGGCUCACCAAGGCGAUGACGGGUAGCCGGCCUGAGAGGGCGACCGGCCACACUGGGACUGAGACACGGCCCAGACUCCUACGGGAGGCAGCAGUGGGGAAUAUUGCACAAUGGGCGAAAGCCUGAUGCAGCGACGCCGCGUGAGGGAUGACGGCCUUCGGGUUGUAAACCUCUUUCAGCAGGGAAGAAGCGAAAGUGACGGUACCUGCAGAAGAAGCGCCGGCUAACUACGUGCCAGCAGCCGCGGUAAUACGUAGGGCGCAAGCGUUGUCCGGAAUUAUUGGGCGUAAAGAGCUUGUAGGUGGCUUGUCGCGUCUGCCGUGAAAACCCGAGGCUCAACCUCGGGCGUGCGGUGGGUACGGGCAGGCUAGAGUGUGGUAGGGGAGACUGGAACUCCUGGUGUAGCGGUGAAAUGCGCAGAUAUCAGGAAGAACACCGAUGGCGAAGGCAGGUCUCUGGGCCAUUACUGACACUGAGAAGCGAAAGCAUGGGGAGCGAACAGGAUUAGAUACCCUGGUAGUCCAUGCCGUAAACGUUGGGCACU
rnacentral:rRNA from 1 species